GGUUAGUAUUUUCAUAAAAAGAGUUUCUAUAGAUUCUAUUGUUUUCAAAAAGUGAUUUUAGUUUUAACUAAAUAGUGAGAGCGUACGUUAAGGUAAAAUCAUAGUCUAUUCAACAGAGCGAGAGUUUGAGAAAAGACUUUUAAUCAAUAGUGUCUAAUGAAAGGACUUAUUUUAAAACUAAGAAACCAACGAAGAUUUGAUUCCCUAAUUACGAUGAACUACAUACCGAUAUCCGCGUUAUUUGAUAUUUAAUCUAGAUCCAAUUUUAGUUUUACUUUUCC
rnacentral:lncRNA from 1 species